GGGGUAUUAGCUCAGCUGGCUAGAGCGCUCCCAUGGCAUGGGAGAGGUCAUCGGUUCGACUCCGAUAUACUCCACCA
rnacentral:tRNA from 1 species